CUCCCCCCUCCUCGGGUGGGGAGGGGGGGAGGGCGGGACCACGCUCUUCCGGGCUCGGGAUUGGCGGGGCCUCAGGGCUGGCGGCUGAAGCCGGGUGAGGAGUGACUGACCCGGGCUAGCCAGUGCUGGGUACUGCACAUGAUCUCAUUUGGAUGAUCCUGGCAACAGCUCUAUGAGGCAGCUGCAAUCAAUUGUCCCCAUUUUACAGACUAAGAAACAAGGGACAGAGUUCAGCUCAAGUUCUCAACUCCUGCAUCGUAUUACGAAUAGGUCAUGCGUGUUUCCUGAUCAACCUGGCUUUUCAGUGAGGACUCGUUCUCCAUCUCUGAAGGACUAAGGCCAGAUGAAAACAGCAUUGAACUCUAAACAGACUAGUUCAUCAGAUGAGCGUGCCCAUGAGGCCCUGAACUAUGUCCCUGAAAUGCAGCUUGCCAAGUUUGCAAAUAAGAAUUCUCACAGAAAUUUUGUUACCAUGGAUACGAGGAGCACAGGAUUCUGCAGAGGCGUCAUUAGAGUAGAGCCAACCACUAGGGGCCAUCUGCCACUCAACGGUAGAGUCAUAGACAGUGAGAGAGAGAGAGAGAGAGAGACAGAGAGAAAGGUCUUCCUUCUGUUGGUUCACUCCCCAAAUGGCCGCUAUGGCGGGCACUGCGCGGAUCCGAAGCCAGGAGCCAGGUGCUUCUUCCUGGUCUCCCAUGCGGGUGCAGGGGCCCAAGCACCUGGACCAUCCUCCACUGCCCUCUUGGACCACAGCAGAGAGCUGGACUGGAAGAGAAGCAACCAGGACUAGAACCAGCGCCCAUAUGGGAUGCCAGCGCCGCAGGCGAAGGAUUAACCAAAUGCUUCUGUCUCUGAAAGCAAUUUAGGGAAGAGCCAAGAGGAAUAGAACUUCCCCGUCUAAUUAGCCCAAGGAGCCAGGUAAGGUGGAUAUUUGAGACUGGAGCAGCGUGAAUCCACAGACACUGAGAAUUUAGCCUGGAAGCAUUGUACUGCCAAGUUGCCAGGAGACCCAUAGCUGGAGCUAUGUUCAGUCUCAAAAAGUAUUUCUCGGCUUACAAAAAGUACGAAAACAGCCAUGGCAUUAAAGUUUAUGCGUUAGAGAAGGAAGAAGAGGAGGAAGAAGAGGAGGAGGAGGAGGCGGUGGUGGUAAUGGUGGUGGAAUAGGAGGAGGGAAUAUCCAUACCUUGUGUUAAGCACAAUUUUACCUAUUUUUAUUUUAUCUUCAUGCUGAUUUCUUAUAUUAAAAAAAAAAAAAUCCAAUGUCCCAGAUGUGGACACAUAUGAGUGCUUCAGAAAUGGAAUUAAAGAAAAUUGAAUUAAAAGACAAUGUGAAUUUUCCAUUAGCUUUUUCAAAGUUCUAUUGUAUUUAACUUACUGCAUUUACUAGCUUAUUCCCUAGUUUCUAAUGAUAUUAAAUAAAUGUAAGAUCAUGUCAUUAUGUGGCUUAAAAUUGUUCAGUACCUUUCAGUUUCCUUUAAGACAAAAUUUUGACUUCUUUAGCUCAUGUAGAAAUGGGGUGAUUAUGCCAUUUAUCAACCAAACUGAGAUGGUUGUUAAUAACUCUUAGGAAAAUAGGUGUGAUGGGAACUUUCUUAGGAGAUCCAAGAUGUAUCCAAGAGAUCCUGUUGGAUCUAGCUCUGACCUUCCCCUCUGUCUCCUGCUCAGUUUGCAUCAGGUAUGCUGGUCUUACUUCCGUGAUAUGGAGAAGUCUUCAGAGUCCUGGCUGGGCCCUUUGUCAUGUUGGUGUUUGCCUUAUUUAUCUCUGGGGUUGCUGAUAUCAAUUCCUUAGAGAGCCCUGCCCUACCCAUCUAGUCUGGGGUGGUCUCCCUGGUUACUUUAUCUUUGCUCCUUUCCAUCAUCACAUGAGUUGUAAUCUGGAGAGAUCUGUUUAUGUACUUGUUUAUUAUCUGUAAAAUCUACAAGGAUGAGGACAAGCCUUGUCUGUCUGGUUCACUAGCCUGGCAUACAGGAGGAGCUCAGUCAAUACCCAGACAUGACAAAUGAGUGAAUGAUCAGAUGAGGGUCUUCAAGUUGGACUGAAUGACCCAGAGAUGCUGCUGCCUUGAGUCUCAUCAUGGGAAUAAGGUCCAUCCUGAGUAGAAGAAAAAGAAUGGAGGGGCCGGCACUGUGUCAUAGCAGGUAAAGCUGCCGUCUGCAGUGCCAGCAUCCCAUAUGGGCUCCAGUUCAUCCACUUCCAAUCCAGCUCUCUGCUAUGGCCUGAGAAAGCAGUAGAUGACCCAAGUGCUUGGUCCCCUGCACCCAUGUUGGAGACCCAGAGGAAGUUUCUGGCUCCUGGCUUCAGAUAGGCGUAGCUCCAGCUGUUGUGGCCAACUGGGGAGUGAACCAGUGGAUGGAAGACCUCCCUCUCACUCUCUGCCUACUUUUCUCUUUCUGUGUAAUUCCAACUUUCAAAUAAAUAAAUUUUAAAAAAAUGAAUGGAAACAGAAAAGGAGGGGAGCAGCAGGAGAGGAGAAAGAAAUGAUACUGGAGAAAACAUAGGUGUACAAUUUAUGCUUCAUUUAUUCUUUUAAAGGCUAAGCCAUAUUACAAAUUGGGACUGUGGUUUCAUUUUUGCAACACAAGACUUCUAGUGAAACAGAGAGAAAGAGAGAGAGGGAGAGAAAGAGAGAGAGAGAGAGAAAGGUCUUCCAUCUGCUGGUUCACUCCCCAAAUAGCUGCAGUGACUGGAGCUGUGACAAUCCAAAGACAGGAGCAAGAAGCUUCCUCUGAGUCUUCCACAUGGGUGCAGGGGCCCAAAGACUUGGGCCAUCCUCCACUGCUUUCCCAGGCCACAGUAGAGAACUGGUUCGGAAGCGGAACAGCUAGGACUUGAAACGGUGUCCACAUGGAAUGUUGGCACUUCAGGCGGGGGCUUUACCUGCUAUGCCACAGUGCCAGCUCUUAACCUAUUUCUUUUACAUGAAUAAAAUAUUUCAUAGUUUCAUAGAAUGAUUCUAAAAGGAAAUUCUUGGCUUCCUGUGGCUCUCAUAUCACUUGCUAAUAUUUGACCAUUAAAGAUCUAAGUCAGAUGGGAACAAUUUAUCCUGCUUAAAGAAUAGUAUCUAUGAGAAAAGUUCAACUUCACAUGUCCUGUAUUUGAACAUCACACAUAGAACAUUUUUUUUUAAAAGAUUUUAUUUAUUUAUUUGACAGGUAGAGUUACAGACAGUGAGAGAGAGAGAAACAGAGAGAAAGGUCUUCCUUCUGUUGGUUCACUACCUAAAUGGCCACAACGGCCGGAACUGCGCCGAUCGGAAGCCGGGAACCAGGUGCUUCUUCCUGGUCUCCCAUGCGGGUGCAGGGGCUUAAGCACUUGGGCCAUAUUCUACUGCUAUCUUAGGCCACAGCAGAGAGCUGGACUGGAAGAGGGGCAACCAGGAUUAGAACCAGCACCUGUAUGGGAUGCCAGCACCGCAGGUGGAGGAUUAACUUACUGCGCCACAGUGCUGGCCCCAAUAGAACACUUUUUUAAAAAAUGUGUAUUGAUUUAUUUGAAGAUCAGGGUUUCAGAGAGAUCCCCCAUCUGUUGGUUCACUCACUAAAUGGCCACAACAGCUGGGGCUGAAUCAGGCCGAACCCAGAAGCCUAGAACUCCAUCCAGGUAUCCCUCGUGACACCCUCGUGAGUGUCAGGGGCCCAAGGACCUGGGCCAACUUCUGCUGUUUUUCCAGGCACAUUAGCAGGGAGUUGGAUUGGAAGUGGAGCAGCCAGGACUUGGACCAGUGCUCAUAUGGGAUGCUGACAUCACAAAUAGCAGCUUAACUUGCUGUGCCACAAUUCUGGCCCUAUAAGUAACACUUUUUAAACUAUCAAGUGGACAAUAACAUUGUCUGGGAAAUUUAAAAAAAUAGCGGUUUAUAUAAUUGCAUGAAACUUGAUUUUAUUAAACAUUUUUGUUUUUUGCAAAGAAGGUUGUGGGAAAGGAAAUUGAGUCCUUUGUGUUCUUUCUCCCCUGUGGGCAAUAACAAAUUAUAUUAUUCUUUCAACAUCCCACUCAAACAGCACAGCAAUCUAGUGCUCUAUAUUAUUUUUCUGAAUAGCAGUUGUAAAAGAAGUUCAGAGAACUGCAAUAUAGGUCACUGAUAAGACCGCUUUUGUAAUAUGCAGUCACAGGGGUGUGUGCAGUUAUAGGAAGAUGAAGUCCAUGGUAUAUCUCUCUGUGGAAUGGCUGUCCCUUGCCAGUAAGCUACUAGCUGUCGUUUAUCUGUGUAUGUAGCUCACCACUUCCGCUGUCCUUGCCUCUUAUUUUCUUCACCGUGUUCCUUAUGACUUGCAUUGUGUAUUUACUUGUUUGCUUGCUUUUGGCUCCCUAAGAUGUUAAAUCUGCUUUAUUGUCUGCAGUAUCCUCAGUGUUCAGCACAGUGGCAGGUACAGAGUAUGUGUUCAUUUACAAAUGCCUCCUGCGAGGUGGGUGGUGGUUUUCAACAUAGGAUUAAAGAGAUGUGGGGGGAUUGAGUGCUGUAAGAAUUAAAAGGGCUUUGACUAGAUCCUGAUGCAGUGGGGAAUUGCAGAAGCAUAUUAAGCUAAAAAUUGGAGGAAAGGAAGGAUAGGACCAUGUUUGUAUUUUAGUUGAAUUAACCUGGGUGUUGUGUGGAGGAAGAGUUUGGGACAGUGAAACAGUCUGGAGUCAGGGAGAUCAUAAGGAGACUAUUGUGAAAUUCUGGGUGAAUAGAGAUAAGAGCUCAGUCUGGAAAGUUGGUGAUAAUGAGAGCAGUAGUAAUUAUUGUUAGUGUAGCAAAAUUUACUGCAGUGAGCUAGCCAUUAAAAUCUGUUUUUUUUUAAAGAUUUCUUUAUUAUUUUUAUUUGAAACUUAGAGUUACACACAGAGAGAAAGAGAGGAAGAGAGAAAGAGGUCUUCCAUCCUCUGGUUUACUCCCCAAUUGGCCACAAUGGCCAGAGCUGUGCCGAUCUGAAGCCAGGAGCCAGGAGCCUCCAGGUCUCCCACGCAGGUGCAGGGGCCCAAGGACUUGGGCCAUCUUCUACUGCUUUCCCAGGCCAUAGCAAAGAGCUGGAUCAGAAGUGGAGCAGCCGGGACUCAAACUGGCACCCAUAUGGGAUUCUGGCACUGAAGGUGGCAGCUUUAUCCACAAUGAUACAGCGCCAGCCCCUAAAAUCUAUUUUCUAUACUACAUUUUUCAGCCUCCUUGAAGUCAGGUGUGGCCAUGUGAUUAUGUUCCACUCAGUGGAAUGUGAGCAGAAAUAACGAGCUCUACUUUUAGGCCUGACCAGAGAAAUCUUCUUUACAUACUCUUCUAUGCUCUUUUCUCUUUUCUGGCUGGUUGGGAUGGAGAAGUCAUUGCACUAAAGAAAAUUUGGCAUCCAUUAUCCUAGAUUUUAUAAAGCCAUAUAAAGAGAAAUUGUCCCCGUUGGCUAGCAAUAUGGUAAAUAUUGUAUAAAUGAGGAAGAAAUAUAAAUUAUGUUUGAGCCACUAGAUAAUUUUAGGUCUAUUUGUCUAUUUGCACCUGAUAUUUCCCUAAAGAAUUCCAGCCAAACAUCAUUCCUAGUGCUUUAUGAUUUGAUGCUACAUGAUAACACAUUUAACAUAAUCUAUUUAGGAACACAUUAUUAUCAUCGCCAGUUUCCAGGUGAGGAAACUGAAACACAGAGGGCUAUGUAAAAAGAGAUGUAGUUGGGAAAUGAUGGAAACAGACUUCAGACAGUUCUGGCUCUUAUAUUUUAAGCAAUAUCUGGUGGUGGAGAUGAAUAGGAGUGAAUGGAUUUUUUUAAAAAAAAUAUAGAUGUCCUUUCUUUGCAAUUAAGCAUUCUGACUAAAAAAUAGAACCUUAAAAAGGUUUAAGUGGCUGAGCAUGAACAUUAAUUAAAAUUUGAGUCAUUAUUUAUAAAAUAAUAUUUUAAGUAAAAUUUAAGGACAUAACAUAACCUUAAGUUGGGUUCCCUAGAAUCAAAUACUGAGACUGAGAUCUGCACAGAUUUGAAAGGGAAGUGUCUCCUGGAAGGGAGAGAAGAAUUAGGUAGAGGAAGAAGGUGAACUUGGUGUCGUCACAGUGUAGGAAUCUGCCUACCCCACGAUCACUUUGGGGUUAGGGAUCACCUGUUGGAGUCAUCUCCCAUUAAAGCAAGGGGCCUGGACUCCCGUGUUCUGCCUUUACUGGUCACUGGACAUGGAGUGCCAGCCAGGAGGGCACACAAGCCUGAGUGAGGCAGCAUCUUUGGAGAGCGAUUCUGCUGUGCACCAGCACUCCUUGCAGUUGGUAAAAUGAACAUUCUGAUCUUCACUGAUCUGGAUGGCACACCACAGAAUCGACUGCAGAAACAAUGGGAAUAAAGAGUUCUAUGCUUGCAAAUUUUCAGUUGUUCUAGACGGCUCCAUUUGGCUUCAGACUCACAUGGUCCACUACCUGCUAAUUGUGCCUGAAGUAUAAAUGUGACAGCAUUGACAAGGGCUGGGUUUCAGAAUUGUGCUGAGACCUAGUGAAGGCCUAAAGGGUAUUCCAGGGACUUUGGGUAUGAGGGAAUCUGGCAGCAGCAUGGAGAAGGAUUUGCAUGGGGACAGGCCACUGACAGGUGAAGCCUUCAGCGUAGAUGGACUUAUAAGACACUGUAGAGACGUCCUCAGUGGUUUCAAUGGCUGGUCGUGGAAGGUAAGGGAAGAUGUAAGGCAAAGCCCGCAGCUUUAUCUUGGGAGACUGUUAAAAGUGAUACUUGAAGAGAGAUUGUGGUCACAUUCUCUCUAUGGCAGAAUGUGGCAUGAAACCCUCAAAUAAAUAAUUCUCAAACUUGUUUCUUCUCUCUUUACACUUUUUCCAUUCUGAGGAAACGUCAUAAUGCUCCUUCUGGUCUCCUAAAAUGAGUUACUCUUUCUAUGUAUCAUGGGUUUCUUCAUCAAUCUGUUUUAGCAAAAAUCUUCUUUUGGAUGCACUUUGUCCCGCCCCGUCCCUUGAGUUGCAAAUCUAAGUGUACCAGCACAAAACAUACAUUUAAAUGAAUGUUUUAAAGCACAGACACAGAGUCCAGUUUAUUCCCUCUUCGUGUAUCAGCAGUUCUGUCAUGGCCCCUACUGGAAGUUCUUGAAUCAUAGUUACAGUAAGAGGUGACAUGAGGUACUCUGAACUUGGGGACAGUGUAUGUUGUGAGUGGCUGGUUGCUCUGUUACGUGGAUGAACAAGAUUGUCUAAGGCUGCUAGUGAAUGUCCACUUUAAGUUCCUUUGUGCCCCAGCGAGCAUAGUGUUAUAUAGUGUUCAUCAUUGGAUGUGUUCUUCACCCAAAGUGAAUUUUCUGUCUUGAUUUAUACAAGAUUGUAAUCUAAACUUGUGCAGGCUGCAUUUUUUUGCCAAGUAAUUUAAAGAUGUAACAGUAUAAAAUUUAAAGAAAGUAAAACCAAAAGAUGAGUAAUGAUGUAGGUUCACAUCAGUUUAGAAGACAUUUAUGUAGUAUAUUCUCAGUGCAAAUUAACCAUUCAUUUAGCCAAAAUUGAUUGGUAGCUCUUUGUGCCAGGAACUAUCUAUCCUAGGUGUGCCAAGAAGACAGAGGUAGAAGAGCAGGUAAAAUUUUCCCCUCUCGCUGGUGCCGCGGCUCAAUAGGCUAAUCCUCCGCCUUGCGGCGCCGGCACACCGGGUUCUAGUCCCAGUCGGGGGUGCCGGAUUCUGUCCCGGUUGCCCCUCUUCCAGGCUAGCUCUCUGCUGUGGCCAGGGAGUGCAGUGGAGGAUGGCCCAGGUGCUUGGGCCCUGCACCCCAUGGGAGACCUGGAGAAGCACCUGGCUCCUGCCUUCGGAUCAGCGCAGGCCGCAGCACGCCAGCCGCGGCGGCCGUUGGAGGGUGAACCAACAGUAAAGGAAGACCUUUCUCUUUGUCUCUGUCUCUCACUGUCCACUCUGCCUGUCAAAAAAAAAAUUUUUUUCCCUCUCAGAAUGUACCUUCUGAUGGUAGAAUAAGAAGCAAGAAAUCAAAAGAGAGCUUACAAUGUGUGCAAGUACUAGGAAGAAAAUAAAAGUUGGGAUUCAAUUUGCUUAUCUAGUCUUUUUCUCUCACUGUAAGACGCUUCCUUGGUGAGCAAUUUGGUCUUCUAAGCAGAUUGGGGCAGGAUAAUAUGAACCUAGAAUUCGUACUUAAAAAGGCAAAUACUUUGAGUAGGGAGGAUGAGACUUUUUUUUUUUAACAUUUAUUUUAUUUUAUUUAUUUGAAAAUUACAGAGAGAAGUAGAGACAGAGAGUGGUCUUCCAUCUGCUGGUUCGCUCCCCAGAUGGCUGCAAUGGCUGGGGCUGUGCCAAUCCGAAGUCAGGAGCCAGGAGCCAGGAGCUUCCUCCAGGUCUCCCAUGCAGGUGCAGGGGCCCAAAGACUGGGGCCAUCUUCUACUGUUAUCCCAGGCCAUAAUAGAGAGCUGGAUGGGAAGAGGAGCAGCUGGGACUAGAACCAGUGCCCAUAUGGGAUACUGGCAUGUCAGGCCAGGACAUCAACCCACUGUGCCACAGCGCCAGCCCCAGGAUGAGAUUUUAAAAGUGUUAAAUAUAAAUGUGAUAAGUAAGAUUUAAACUCCUACCUGGGACUAUCACCAACUAUUGUCCACAAAGAAAGUCCUUACAAUAUUAACAAGUAACUAAUAAAAACUCUGGUGGUGGUGUUUUAACCAACUCCAACUGAAAUGAGGAGGCACCAGUAUUCUGUUUCUUCUAUAAUGGUAUGUACUGGCUCUCAGAGCAUGGCCACUCUGAACAUGCUGGCCCCUGUGUGCUCCCAGAAGUUGAAUUUUAUUCUGUCUGAGAGCCAGAAUUGUUUGUUCCAUGGGGCAGACAUUUAGUCUAGCAGUUAAGAUGCCCAUAUCCCACAUCAGAGUAUUUGGGUUCAAUUCUCAGCUCUAUUCUGACUCUGGCUUCCUGCCCGUGUUGACCCUGGGAGGCAGUGGUGAUGUCUUAGUCAUUGGGUUUGUGUCGCUAAAGUGGGAGACCUGGAUUGAAUCCAUGGAUCCCAGCUUUUGCCCGAGGGAGCCUUUGUGGGCACUUGGGAAAUGAGUCAGCAGAUAAGAGCCCUCUGUCCCUCUGCUGCUGAAGUAAAUGAAUCAGGAAACAUAAAGAUCUACAAUAUUUUUUCUCAUGAAUGUCUUCAAAUUCUUAUUCACUGCUGAAAGAAAAAAAGGCACAUGAGAUAUGGGUGUGGCUUAGGUUAAAAAAAUGGUUUCAAAUCUAAGAACUAUGGCAUUCCACCAAUUUGGAAAAAAGUAUUGAUGUUUAUUUAAGUUAAAAUAUAAUGUUUCCAACAUGACUGUAUUCUUUUUAUUCCUUAACUGACAUUUCUGAUUAACCCAUUGGCUAGUAGUUCUGAUUGUGCUAAGGAGAUUUUCACUGUCUUCUACGUCAUGUUCUGUGUGUGAUAGAAUUUGGGAGACUUCUAUCCAAGGAACUCAGGAUUAUAGUCCUGAUGUCAUUAGAUAGAGAAUGGAUGUGUCUCUUUUUUGUUUGUUUUGUUUUUUUGACAGGCAGAGUGGACAGUGAGAGAGAGACAGAGAGAGAAAGGUCUUCCUUUUGCCGUUGGUUCACCCUCCAAUGGCCACCGUGGCCGGUGCACGGCAUUGAUCCGAAGGCAGGAGCCAGGUGCUUCUCCUGGUCUCCCAUGGGGUGCAGGGUCCAAUCACUUGGGCCAUCCUCUACUGCACUCCCUGGCCACAGCAGAGAGCUGGCCUGGAAGAAGGGCAACCAGGACAGAAUCCGGCGCCCCAAAUGGGACUAGAACCCGGUAUGCCAGCGCCGCAAGGCGGAGGAUUAGCCUAGUGAGCCACGGUGCCAGCCGAGAAUGGCGGUGUCUUCAGAUCACUUCUACGUAGCCAGGUCUCCUUUCCCUCAUUGGCACAGUGGAAGCACGGAAAGCAUUUUCACUUUUCAGCAGAAGCUUUCCAUUGAGAGCAUCAAAACUCUUCACAGGGACAAAUUUCUAAAUAAGCAAGAAAGCUCAAAUUACACAAAAGAGGUGCAUAGAGGUGUUUAUUAUCCUCUUACAGAGGAUGGUGGAUUGUUGCUGAACACUUAGCUGGUGUCUGUCGCCUCUCAGGAGAAUUAUGUUUCUACUAAUCUCACUGCCACACUGUGUCCUGUUCCCUAUUUGUGUCAGUUCCUAGUAUUUCUGAAAACUAUGAGGCAUGAAAAGAGCACUUGUCUGUGAGCCAGGACACGGAAGCUCAGACCCUGGAGGUACUAAUAACUCGUGUGGUUUGGAGCUCUUUCUGGCUGGCCCUUUUGUGUCUCAGCUCCCUUAUCUGUAAAAUGGCAAUGACAGUACUUGUACUAGCAAAACAGAUGGUAGGGCAGUGGGUGGCAUUGGUGGUGUGAGUGCUUGUCAAGACAUAGGUGGAUAAUACUGUAGCUGCAGAUAGUGCCAGCACCAGUGACCCAUAGAUUUCAUUUAUUUUCCCUUAUUCUCAUUUUGGGAUUCCCACUUUUUGUUAUGGUAUCUUUGAUCAUGUGUUGAGUUCUGGGUUCUGGUUUGCACGUUUGUUUAUUACAGCCAGAAGUGAAAGUCCUUCCUCAAAUGCUCUAAUCCAGUACAGGCUACCUACCACCACCUUUACCAUCUUCCAAGAUAGUCCUAGACUCGGUAAGAAAUGGAAGGAAAAGGACAGAUUAGGGGCAAGCUGAUGAUCUGUUGUGUUCUGAACCAAAAGACCAGAAGGUGACUGCCAUUCUCUAAAGCUCUGAGUAUUCAUUGUUAUCACUUGACUUAUUCCCAGAUUUUCUGAUAAUGCAAAAGAAAAAAAAAGGUGAAAUAUACUAAAUUUCCAACAAUAGGGGAUUACUCAAGUAAAUGAUGAUAUGACUGAAUGCCAUUCAUUUUAUAAAGUGCCAUAUAUGAAUGUUUCUUGCUAUAGAAAAGCAGUUAAAAUAAGUUAAAAAAGCAACCCCACAAGAGUAAUGUACAACAACCCCAUCACUGUAAAAUAUAUACGCAUUUAAGUAAAGAAUAUUUAGAAGGAUAUACAGUGGCUAUCUCUGGGUAGUAGAAUUAUAGAAACUUUAAUCUUCCUUCUUUAUACAUAUCUGAAUUUUCCAGUGGAAAGUGGGUAUAUGUUACUUUUGGCAAAGGAGAAACUGAUUUAAAUUAAAUAACAUGCUAUGGCAAAGCCACUGGUAGGAACCAAACUCAACAUUUAGAAAAAAUAAAUACCAACUCUAAAACAGGAAUUAAGAAAAGAAUUUUUUCUUAGAUAGGAAGGAUAAAUUUCAUUCUUUUUUCUCUCUUAAACAUGAAUGUUUGAAAUCAACCAAAUAUCAAUCGCAAACAUUUCUUUGCUUGAAUCUUCCUUAAAUUUGUUCUAAAAGGUACUCAGAGUAUGGUAAAUAAGUAUACUUUGAAAAAUCUAAAUUAAACAAUCAUAAGCAGCAACAUAAUAUAAUUUUUUUAACUUACCAAAAUAUCACUUCAAAACAAAUCACCUCUCCCCCACUCCCCCACAUCAUCUUCUAAGACACAGGUCAGUUGCACUGAUCAUUCUAAGUAUAAUAAAAAUCUCUGGUUAUCAAUUGUCUUCUAUUUACUUAUAUGUCAGGUAUUUAUAAUAUUAAAUUUAAUUAUUUAUUUAAUCCUCACUGCCUUGGAAGACAGGCAUUAUUAUUUUCAUCUUAUGUUGUCAAAAACUAAAACUCAAAGAAAUUAAAUUUCCUACCCAAUCAUUAAACAAUAGAACCUCACUGUCUUUAAAAAAAUCACUUGAAUAUUUAUUGAAUUCAUUCUGCUUGACCAGGAAUAGACCGAUGAGCAAGACAACAUGGUCUCAAAGAAGCUUAAAUUCUACUUGGAUGACAAGAAGCAAGUAAUUAUAAAUGUGAUUAAUCUUAUAAAGGAGCCAAUACCCAAUGUGAAGGAGGGUUAAUCUGGUCUACGGCAUCCAUCCUGUGUACAAGACCCUUAACACUGAGAUCUGAAGCAUGGGUAGGAGUUAACAAGACAAAGAGUAGGCAUGGUAGAGGGAACGAUAUAUGCUGAGCACUGAGAUGCUGUUUUGUUUUAAUAAUGUGGCACAACCAACUAUCCAAAACUAUGGCUUGACCAAAGAAAACCCUGGUUUAUUUCUCCCACAGAGUUCUGCAGUUCAGCUGUACCUGGCCAGUCUUGGCUGAACUCCAGGGUUCAGGUGUUCCUUGUAUGUAUAUUUCUCAUCCUCUUUUGACCAGUGGCUUUGUGAAACAGGCUCCUUUCACAGUACAUGACAGAUGCACAGAGCCCAAAGGAAAUCACACAAGUGCAUUGAAGGCCUUAUGUCAUGUUCAGGAACAUGUCAUUAGUUAUAGUAGACCAGAGGCCACACCCAAAAUCAGUGGGCUGGGGAAAAAUUUUACCCACAGUGGGGUCCCAUCACACAGGAUGCAGGUGAAUAAUUUUAUAUAGGAAAGGCAUGAGCAACUGUGAACCUGACUCAGUCACACCUGGAGUUUUCAAGGAACCCUUUGCUGUUGAGGCUGAAGAAUAGUAAGCAGGGAGGCUCUCACUGACUGAUUUCCUUGGGAACUUCUUAUUGUUGGGAUUACAUAUGAGGAUACUUCAAAACGUUUGUGGAAAAUGGAAUUAAAAGAUAAGUUCCUUUUGGUCUAAAAAAUUUUUGAAAUCAUAUAUAAAAUGAGGAGCCUUUGAAAAGUUUAUGUGACACUUUAUAUUAUGAAAAACUCUGCAUGAAUUUCAACAAUUUUUAUACCAAAAUAGUUUUUAAUUUCAUUUCUUAUGAAUUUUUGAACUAUGCUCAUUUAUAUAUAUAUAUAUAUAUUUUGUUUUUGACAGAGUGGACAGUGAGAGAGAGAGACAGAGAGAAAGGUCUUCCUUUGCCGUUGGUUCGCCCUCCAAUGGCCGCUGCUGCCGGCACACUGCGGGCGGCGCACUGAUCCGAUGGCAGGAGCCAGGUACUUCUCCUGGUCUCCCAUGGGGUGCAGGGCCCAAGCACUUGGGCCAUCCUCCACUGCACUCCCUGGCCACAGCAGAGAGCUGGCCUGGAAGAGAGGCAACCGGGACAGAAUCCGGCGCCCCGACCAGGACUAGAACCCGCUGUGCCGGCGCCGCAAGGAGGAGGAUUAGCCUAGUGAGCUGCAGCGCUGGCUCAUUUAUAUAUAUAUUUAAGCUUACUCCAAAAGACAAUGACUUUUCAAAUUUUUACCUAAACUUUAUUCCAAAAGUUGAAAAACAUUGAGAUACCAUGAUUAACUCAGAAAGCUGAGAUGCUGCCCAUUGAAUGAAAUGUUCCUUCCCAGUGAUGCAGCAAGCACUGGGUCUCUUCCUAAUAGAAACACAGUCAGCUUAGCCUGAGAAGCAAUGAAACAAGGGUUUGAACCUGUGAGCACAUAGCAUUAAAUUUUGCUUGCUACUCAUUCUCCUGGAAUGGAGGUCAGCUAUUUUAUACGAAGUGAAUAAGACUAACCAGUCAUCAAACGUGAGGAAACAUCUAAUUUGACAGCCUUGUCCCAUGAAAUAUGAUCUGCUAUUUGGUCAGAUCAUUUUAAUGUUGUUACAAGAAUAGCUCAGUUUAUUUUUUCCCAUUGCGGCACACAUACAUUCGUUUGCUUUACAAGUGCUUAGGUCUAAUACCUGAAUGAACAGGUGGGGAGAUGAGAGUUGGUCAGAUAUAAACUCAUACAGUUCAUGAAUGUAACAGGCAUGGGCAUUUCCCUCCCUCUUCCUUCCCUCCUUCCCUCUUUCCCUCCUUCCUCCCUCCCUCCCUUCCUUCCUUCUUUCUUCCUUCACCAAAGAAAAUUAGUUUAGCAGACAAAUACUGCAUUAUUAGCUGUCAUAGUAUAUUUAGCCAAAGAAAGCUGUGUUCCUUUCAGUCGAGGUGAUUUUAAAAAUAUUUAUUUAUGGCCGGCGCCGCGGCUCACUAGGCUAAUCCUCCGCCUUGCAGCACCAGCACACUGGGUUCUAGUCUCAGUAGGGGCGCCGGAUUCUGUCCUGGUUGCCUCUCUCCCAGGCCAGCUCUCUGCUGUGGCCAGGGAGUGCAGUGGAGGAUGGCCCAAGUGCUUGGGCCCUGCACCCCAUGGGAGACCAGGAAAAGCACCUGGCUCCUGCCAUCGGAUCAGCGUGGUGCGCCAGCCAUAGUGCACCGGCCGCAGCGGCCAUUAGAGGAUGAACCAAUGGCAAAGGAAGACCUUUCUCUUUGUCUCUCUCUCUCACUGUCCACUCUGCCUGUCAAAAAAAUAUAUUUAUUUAUUUAUUUAUUUAUUUAUGAGAGAGAGAGAGAGAGAGAGAGAGAGAGAAAGUGAAUGAGAACUCCCAUCUGCUAGUUCACUCUCCAUGUGCUCACAACAGCAGGGGCUGGGCCAAGCCUGGGAGCCAGGAACACUACCCAGUCUCCCAUGUGAGUGGCAGGAACCCAACUACUUGAACCAUCACUAUUGUCUCCCAGGGUCUGCAUUAGCAGAAAGCUGUAGUUAGGAACCAAAAGUCAGUCUCGACCCCAGGGAACUUCCACGUGGGAAGCAAACAUCUUGUCCACUAGGCUAAAUGCUCACCCUCAUGUAAAGUUUUCCCCCUUUGUUAGUAAGAGAUUAAAUAGAAACCUUUACCUCCAAGACAUUUGUGUUCCAGAGCUAAAAUUUCUUCUUUAUUUGUUAAGAACUCAGUUUUAUAAUCAAAUUUGUCUUUCUAAUAAUAAUUAUUUCCCUUAAAAACAAGAUUUUUUUAGCUACCUCAUUAAAAAUUUCAUUUAAAAAUAUUUAUUUAUUUGAAAGGCAGAGUUAGAGAGAGAGAGAGAUCUUCCAAGUGCUGGUUCACUCCCUAAAUGGCCACAAUGGCCGGGGCUGGGCCAGGCAAAAGUAAAAGAUGUGAGAGCACAAACACUUGGGCCAUCUUUGUCUGCUUUCCCAGACGCAUUGGCAGGGAGCUGGAUGGGAAGUGGAAGAGCCAGGACUCAAAUUGUGCCCAUAUGGAAUGCUGGCAUUCCGGGCAAUGGCUUAACCCUCUGUUUCCCAAUGCCAGUCCCAUAAAUUUCAUUUCAAAACAUUGCCAUUUCAAAGAAAAUCAGUGAUUCUAAUAGAUAUGAUAGAAAAAGAUCUCAUCUACUGGUUCACUUCCCAUAUUCCUACAAUAGUGAGGGCUGGGACAAGGCCAAAGCUAGGAGCUGGAAAUGCAAUCCAGGUCUCCCACAUGGGUGGCAGCAAUGCAGUUACUUGAGCCAUCACUCCUGCCAGGGUCUGUGUAAGCAGGAAGCUGGAAAAGGAGCCAGAGCUGCGUAUGAAACCUAGGUACUCUAAUGUGGAAUACAGUUGCCUUAACUGCUAGUUUAAGCACCUACUCUCCCUGAUAGCUUUUAAAAGAUUAUUAGUCUUCUUUGAAAAACUAGCUAGAAAGUAAGAUACUAUUCUUAAACUGUAAAGCAUGUAGGAAAGAAACUAACAAAUAAUUUUCUAAGGAAAAUCUAAAACUGUUAUAUGUUUGAAAAUUUUGAAUAAAAGUUGUAUCACGUGUUUGACAUGUAAAUAUGUUAACUUCUUUCAAAUCUAACCUAUACAUUCAAUGAAAUUUCAGACAAAAUUAUGACUUUAUUUUUUUUUAUUUUGAACACUACAACAUACUUACUCUAAAAUUUAUGUGAAUGAGUAAAAUUUUGUGAUGCCUAGACUUGUUUUGAAAAUAAAUAGAAAAGAGGACAGACUCCCCUCCCAGAUAAAACCAUGGACCUGGGGCACAAAUGCACCCAUGGAAAAGAACAGGGAGUCAGAAACAGAUCUCCACAGGGUCUCUCAUGGGUUAAACAUGAACGACACAGUAAGUAAUGGGAAAAGGUUUUAGGAUUUUCUAAAACCCACAAAUUGGUAGUGGGGAAACAGCUCAUUAUACAAGGGUGUUUCAAAAUGUGGAAAGUAGAAUUAAAAGAUAAGUUUAUUUUGUUGCCAAAAAGUUUUGAAAUCCAUGAUUCUGAGGGCCUUCAAAAAGUUCAAGGGAACUAUAUAUUAUUAAAAAAAAAACCUUGCAUGGAUUUUCAUUUUUUAUACCAAAAUAACCUUAUCUUUUAAUUUUUCUGCAAACUUUAUGAAGUAUGCUUGUGUGAAGCAAAGUAGAUUGAUUCCCCACUCUCAGCAUAUACUAAAGAGAAAUCCAGUGUGAAGGUGAAAUUAGAAAGCUAGUAGAGUAAACCACUGGUAUAAAGCUUCUCAACACAUAAUGACUUAGAACUUUAAUACAUUUAAUGAUAGCUUAAAAAUUAAGAGUUUAUGAGCAUCAGUUCAAGUUCUGGCUGCUCUGCUCCCUGCUGAUGUGCCUGGGAAGGCAGCAGAACACGGCCCAAGAACAUGGGUCUCUGCCAUGCAUGUGUGAGACCUGUACAGAGUUCCAGGCUCCUGGCUUCCUCCUGGCACAGCCCCAGCCAUUGUAGCCAUUUGGGGAGUGAACCAACAGAUGGAAGAUCUCUCCUUCUGUCUCUGUAACUCUGCCUUUCAAAAAAUAAAUAAGUGAAUCUUUUAAAAAACCAGGAAUUUUUGUUAAAGCUCAGAUAUCCUAAGCAAAUUUCUCCUCCUGAAAAAGAGACAGAAUGAAGAAAACAUAUGAAAAAGCCUCAUUUUUUUUUUUUUUUAGUAAAAUGAGGGCCAUAAUGGUAGAAGUGAGGAGUCCACCAUACAGUUAGUGUGUACUGUGUGCUGCUACUAGUUUGUUCUUUAUGACAAAAUGCAUUUGUGUUGAGCUAUGUUAUGUGGGCCCUGAAUUGCUAAUGCUUACAUGUUUUUAUGUUACUAGUUAAUACAGUUGCAGAGAAAUAAAUGUAUAUACCAAUAACCAGCAAGUCUCAAUAUCCACAAACUGUGUUUGGUAGAUGUCUCCAGAUAUGCCAAGGGUGAAAAGUAAAGUAGAGCCAAUAAUGGAGGCAGUUCCUGUAACACAGAGGUGAGGGAUACGCAGCAUGAGCCACUGUAGCUCUGGAACCAACUGUCAAGGACACCUGCCAGGUGAUGUAGCAAGAAGAUCAUGUUUCAUGGCUUGAGGUGUGAAUCUUGUGACUGUUAUAUUUCAUCCUGUCUGGGGCUGGGGCACAAGGGUGCUAUAUCCAGACAGCAGAGAGCCUGAGUAGGGCACCUCCUACUUCUUAGCUCUUUGUCUAGGUGUAACCUCUGACAGUUGGGGUCAGCCCUUUCUUUCCUGCUGGGUUUCCUGGUGAUUCCCACACCCCAGGCAGUGUGGCUACAGAAAGAUGACUUUGCUCACAGUCGACCAAAUGUGCUUUCUAGAAGCAGAGCUGUGUCUUUUUCUGCUUUAUGACCUCAACUUUGGGGAAGGCUUUGCCUCCCCAAAUAUGAUCUGAAAAUUUAGAUGGUGACACACAAGGAAGAAGACAGCAAGUUGUACCUGGUGGCAGUGACCCAAGCUGGGUCUACUCCCUGAACCUGAAACAUGAUAACACAAGCCAGCCAGGUAUGACCUGCUGAUAGAGAAGGAAGGGAGACUAAUGAUAACUCCAUGCAGGAUGCUAUCACACGCAUGAUCUCCCUGGAAAGUUUGGGAAUUGAACAUGCCUGUCUCCAUGUAACAGAUGUAAAAACUAACUCAGAGGGAAAAUGAUCUGCCCAAAUUUACCCAGAUUAUAAAUGACCUUCUGAGAUUUGAAUCCUAGACCAGUUUGACUUGAAACCUAUAAGUAUUUAUUUAUUUCUUCACUGCUCCACUUUUUUUUUAAUUUAUUUUUUUACUUAUUUGAAAGGCAAAGUUACAGAGAGAAGAGGAGAGACAGACAGACAGCUUCCAUCCACUAGUCCACUCCUUACAUGGCUGCAAUGGCCAGGGCUGGGCAGGGCUGAAGCCAAAGGAGUGGUGCUUUUUUUGGGGUCUCCCAUGCAGGAGCAGAGGCCUAAGCACCUGGGCGAUCUUCUGCUUUCCCAGGCACAUUAGCAGGGAGCUGGAUCUAAAGUUGAGCAUUGGAUUUCGAACCCAUGCCCGUAUCGGAUACUAGUGUUGCACGCAGAGGCUUAACCUGCUAUGCCACAGUGCUGGCCCUCACUGCACCACUUUCUAUAUCUGCAAAGUUGGAUUGCCAGUGGGUGAAUGUGAUGAUGGAUCCCUGUGAUCCUGCCUCUGCAACUUGAUGGACUCCAGGGAAGAAUGUAUGGCCCAUCUCAUCCUUGUUUGAUCUUGGCCACUGGCUCAGUCAGACUUUAGAUAGCAAAUUCCCUUCCCGGUGCCAUGUUUGAACAGGUACUCCUGUGGUCAACUGGCAUUAGGUGUAGCUUCGAUUUCUCAGUAGAUUUUGUUCCUAUGAAAUAAUGAUGUCCUGAAAGUGUUGAGCUUUGCUUGUUAUCCAGAGGACGGCACCUCCAGGAGACACUGUAUGACAUGGAUGGAUUCUCUGCCUGGGAAGGAGCCAGGCAGGGCUUAAUGGCAGGCAAAUGCUUGCUCUCUGACCUGCUAGCCAGGUGGGAUUUCAUUUCUCUGUGCUUCUGGGAUCUGGGACUUUGAAGAACUAGCUUUAUUAACCAUCAACAGAGACGCUCUUGUCCAGAUACCUGCCAGUGGCUUUUUUUGUGUGUACUUGAGAGAUCACAGGUAUUUUUGAACUACUGCUAUUUGGAAGUAAGAAUUUCUGUACGCAUGUGUUCUUGCCCAUGUCUAAUGUUCAUGGCAAUGACUCAUAAUAGCAAUCAUGAUAGUUAUAAUAGCUACCCAUCCACUCUGUAUUUGCACUGUGAUAAGCACUGUAGGAAUCUCACUUAAUGUUCACAAGAACCCUCUAACUGUGUGUUAUUUCAGAUUGGUUUGGCUGCAAGUUGUAGAAAUUCAGCAUCAAUGGUAUAAUCAAAUGAGAAAUUAAAUUUUUUUUCAUGUGAUAAAAGGUCCAGCAUUUCCGGGCAAGUAUGGGUACCCUACAUGACAUCAGAAAUCUAGGCCCCUUCACUUUGGGCUUUCCUAUUCAUGUUUAUUGUGUGACUGUUCUAUUUUGUUAAUUUCAACUGAUUUGGGGACAGAAAGAAGGAAGAAGGGCAAGACUAAGUGGCAAAAACUAAAAAGCCUGGAUUUGGGCUGAACAUGCACCCUGCAACAGGGUCUCUCACAAACUCCAGCUGGUACCUCACUUGUACUUCCUUGCCCAGAACUGUGUUGUAUGACUACAUCUAGCAGUGAGGGAUUCAGCUUAUGCAAGAGUAUUGAAGUGAGCCCCUUGACUAGUGAAAAAGGAAAGGCGGACUGGCUAUUGGCUAUGCAACUACCAGUGCCUAGCUCAAGUAGUUAAUGUUUGUUCAAAGCUACAGACAAGGAAAGUGAAGUUAGAAAAGUUAAGUAUUUGUCCAAAGUCACUUAGCCAUGGUGUUUAACAGCCCACACCAGAAUCUAAGUAUGUCUGACAUUGAAGCCACCUUUCUAAUGCUGUGCUAGAAUUUGUUCCUGAUGCCUUGUGGUAUUGGGGCUGGAGAGCAGAGGACUUCAGGGGAUAUUCUUAUAGUCCAAGAAAGAGGAUGGUUUUUCAGCUUUUUGAGAAUGGUAUCAAUGUAUGAAAGUUAUAAAAGGUUGGCCGGCGCCGUGGCUAACUUGGCUAAUCCUCUGCCUGUGGUGCCGGCACCUGGGUUCCAGUCCUGGAUAGGGCGCCAGAUUCUGUCCUGGCUGCUCCUCUUCCAGUCCAGCCCUCUGCUUUGGCCCGGGAGGGCAGUGGAGGAUGGCCCAGGUGCUUGGGCUCUGCACCCUCAUGGGAGACCAGGAGGAAGCACCUGGCUCCUGGCUCCAGAUCGGCGCAGCGCGCCGACCACACCAACCAUGGCGUCCAUUUUGGCGUUGAACCAGUGGAAGGAAGACCUUUCUCUGUCUCUCGCCGUCUUAAAUAAUAAAAAAGUUAUAAAAGGCAGAUUUUUGGUACAAGGAAAGAAAGUCUUUUAAAUAGUAAUGAACUGUUAAAUGGGCUGUGUAGCAAACUCUUUCCAGGAGAGUUUGUAUAGAGGCUAAAUUACCUCUCAAAGGAGAUCCUUGAACUGACUUGGGUUGGGGUCCACCGUGAGUUCACGGAUCUAGUUGUAAGAAACAAAAGAGACUGAGAUUGAACAAUCAUGAUGAAAAGAGGGCUUUGGGGGGUUGGCAUUGUGGUACAGUGGGUUAAGCCACCUGCAUUGCUGGUAUCCUAUAUUGGAGCACCAGUUCAAGUCCAGGCUGCUAUGCUUCCAAUCAGCUCCAUGCUAAUAUGCCUGGGAAAACAGCAAACGGCCCAAGUGCUUGGGCCCCUGCACCCACAAGGGAGAUCUAGAUGGAGCUUUGGGCUCCUGGCCUUGGCUUGGCCCAGACCUGGCCAUUGUAGCCAUUUGGGGGAGUUAACUAGCAGAUAAAAGAUCUCUCUGUCUCUCUAACUGCCAAAAAAAUACAUACAUUUUUUUAAAAGAGGACUUUUGGAUUCACUGUGGUUGCUUUCUGAUUUUUUAGAGCUAAGGUGACUGUAUAAUUUGUGGCCCAAACUGGGGUAUCUUUUUAUGCAUAAAAGGGGGAUUGAUUAAUAACUAUGCUGGGAUAAAAGGGCCAUGCCAUGGUCAUCACAGACCAACUGGAAGCUCUGGCUGUCUUAGACACAGGCUCCUGAUGAAGAAAGGGGUGGGGAGGCUUGAGCUCCCUAGGUACUGACAGCUGGGUAAAUGUUUAGAAAGGAAAGAGAGGACACUCGAGCCAGGCGCCCUCUACUUCAGUGGGCUGGACCUUGACGAGCCUAGUCUGUGAUGGAUUUAGAUGACAGAUGUUGAAAUCUGCUGGGCAGGGACAAUGUGUGACAAUGUGAGAACAUGUACCUGACAUAGAUCCUUAUGUCCUGAGUCUCCUCUAGCAUGAUUCUUUUUUUUUUUUUUUGCCUUUGACAGGUAGAGUUUUAGACAGAGAGAGAGAGACAGAGACAGUGAAAGAGAGAGAGCUGAUCCGAAGCCAGGAGCCAGGUGCUUCUCCUGGUCUCCCGUGCGGGUGCAGGGCCCAAGCACUUGGGCCAUCCUCCACUGCUAUCCCAAGCCAUAGCAGAGGGCUGGACUGGAAGAGGAGCAACCGGGACUAGAACCUGGUGCCCAUAUGGGAUGUUGGCGCCACAGGUGGAGGAUUAACCAAGUGAGCCAGGGCACUGGCCCCUAGCAUGAUUCAUUUUUAAGAAACAUUAGGCUCAGAUCAUGCUGGGUUGCUUACUGAGUCAUGAACCCUGCCCAUUCUAGGCUUGGAAAAAAAAACUGGAUUUCACACAUCCUUCUCUACUUUUGAAAACCGCUUUUCUGGUUUUCUCAGUGGCCUUAGGCAAGUCACAACCUUUCUCUAGUGGAAAUAAAAUGGAAAUGAUAGUUAUGCAAGAGAAAAAAAUGAUUCAUGAUCUUCCAAUGAAGGAUGCCACAUGGAGCCAAGUGAUAUUAUUAUUUUUAUGACAGUUAUUAGCAAAGCUGCUUCUGGUUCCAUCCCCUCUCAUUAGGCCACAGGGCAUGGAAUAAACAUAGGUUUGGCCAGUGACUGGUAUUUGAUGGUCUUGGCACUGGAGAUGAAGGGAAGGCAUUUCUGUCUGGCUUGCAUUUACUGUUAACCUGCUCAUGCCUGGAUUUCAACGCCUACAAUCGGGGAAACUGGAAGCCACUAGGAAUCUUAGCUUCAUUUCAUGCCACGGGCAACCUGUUCAGGAAACCUUUAAAUAAUGAUACAAAAAAUAUUUUCUUUAUUCCUCCCUUUAUUUGAUAAAUAUUGAUUAUCUCUUUAUGCCACACUCUGUUUCCCAUAUGCAGAGCAAGAUGCACAAUGACAGCACUAAGUCCUUCCGCAGUUGUUGAAUCAAGGAGUUUGUGAGAUCUGAGGUUUGGAGAGGUGGUCUGCUAUGAUUGUGUGCCUCUGCUAUCCAUACUGAGAGGCAUUUCUAACUGUAAAACCAAUUGUUAUGUAUUUCCUAAGGAAACAAGAUCAGAUUCUGAUUUAUUUAUUCUUUAAUGAUUUAUUUUAUUUAUUUGAAAGGUGGAAUGACACACAGAGAGGAAGAGACAGAAAAAGAGAUUGUCCAUCCUGGCUCACUCCCCAAAUGGCCACAAUAGCUAGGGCUGAGUAAGCCUGAAGCCAGGAGCACAGAACUCCAUCUGGAUUUCCCACAUGGGUUGUAGUGACCCAAGUAUGUCAGUCACCUUCUACUGUUUCCCAGGUGCAUUAGCACAGAGCAGGAUUGGGACUCAUGAUGGUGGUAUCAAAAGGGGUAACUUAACCCAGUGCACCACAACACUGGCUUGGUGACCAGCUUCUUUAAUAUGGCAUAGAAGAAUCUUUGUAGGUUGGAUCCUGUUCACCUUCCUGUCUCAUCUAUCAUGGAGCCCCCUUUGACCCCAAGUUCCUGCUGUUGGGAUUCUCCUACAAGCCCCUGAAUAGUCAGUUCUUUUGUCCCUCUUGGCUAAGAGUGGCAGAUACUUUUUGUCAAGGGCCAGAUAACAAAUAUUUCUGGUUUUCAGGGUCACAGGGUCUCUGUGGUAACUACUCAGUAGUGCUGCUAUAGUACAAAACAGUCAUAGACAAAAUGUAAAUGAAUGAGCGUAGUUAUGUUUAAAUAAAAAGAUGAUUUAAAAAGAUGAUUUGAGAGUCAAAGUUAAUCGAGAGGGAGAGAGAUCUAUCUAUCUAUCUAUCUGCUGGUUCACUUACCAAAUAGUAGCAACUGCUGGGACUGGCCAGGCCAAAACCAGGAGCCUGGAAGUCACUUUGGGUCUCCUAUAUAGGUGUCAGGGGCCCAAGGAUUUGGGCCAUCUUCUGCUGCUUUUCCAGGCACAUUACCAGGGAACUGGAUUGGAAGUGGAGCAGCCAGGACACAAACUGGUGACCCAUUAUGGGAUGCCAGUGUCCCAGGUAGUGGCUUAACCCGCUAUACCACAACUCUGGCCCUAGGACUGUAUUUAUAACAACAGGGUGUGGACUGGAUUUAGUCCAUGGCCUGCAGUUUGCUGAUCUGUUUCAGACUUUUGCUCAUGCUAUGGUCUUUCCCUUAUCUAUGUUAAACACUUUUUCCUCUCCAUUCAUCUGAACAUUACCCAUUCAAUUAUCACCUACAGUCUGAGUCCUCUCCCUACUCCCCUGGGUAGAACUGGUCACCACACCAUUGUAUUCUGUGCAUACCACCCCCACAGGAAAUAGAAAAUUAAGUCUGUGUUUUCUUUCCUAACCUGACUGCAACCUUUGUUCAUUCAUUCGUGGGUGCACUGAUUUAUUCAGUUAACAAUAAUUAAUGAGUGCCCACUACAGGGCAGAAUUACUGACUUUUUAGUCUGUGAAAUACCUGGCUCAAAGUCUGGUACAGGAAAAAUCCCCAAUAUAAGUCCUCCGCUAGGCUUGGCAGACACCACUGGGACUUUGUAGGGAGCUGUGACUGUAGGAACCACAUGUGACCACCCUGAGAUCGGGGUGCCUUUAUUGCUCUCUUGCAACCUUGGCCAGAUAGCAAAGGGUCACAGGGCUGUGUCUUGGGACUGAGAGCUGGGUUGGUAAAACCUAAUGCUGGGCAGGUCCCAAUGGUUUCUGUCCUGAGCUAAAUAUCUGUGCUUGGAGUCUCUGGAAUUGCCCCAGUGUCAGUUGGAGACCUGUGCCCUGGAGAGGCAGACUCACUUUGGUUUAUAUCACCACUAGUACCUGGCAGGCCUGGUUUGCUUUUCCAAGAUUGCAUAAGGCCUGGGGACUGUGAGCCCCAGGUGUGACCUGCUAAAACCUGCUCUAGUAGCUGAGGGGCUGCCUCUGUCACCUCUUCUUCAACUGUGGGUAGACAGCAGGGAAUCACAGGACUGGUUUUGGGACUCAGUGCCAGAUUGAAAACCCAGCACAGAGCAGAUCCUAAUGGUCUCUGUCCCCAGACCAGGGCUGCACUACCGGCAGAGUUCCAUGGUUCCAGUUGAGCAGUUUUGUAUCUUAACCAGCAUCAGUAGUAACUCAAAGGUGCAGCACUGGGCAGUGAGACCACCUUAUUGGCAGACAGACUGUAGCAGGCUUAGCUUUGGUCCAAUCUGAGUUGCACUAGUCUUGCUGGGAUGAGGGCUCUGGAUGUGAUCUAGCAGAUGGCAUUCAUGGACACAGGACAAGGAGUUGGAGCCUACCACAGGGACAGGAUUGUAAAGUCAGACUACCCCUUUUUAGUGCUUCCCCAGUUCAUAUAGAGCAACACAUAUGCUGCAGAUUUGAGACAAAGUUGAGUUUGGGGAGUCUUCUAAGACUGAGUCAGUAAGAACUUAUAAGCAAUGGAUCUGGGACAAACCAUUACUUAGGGUGAUGUCUAGUGCAAAAGUAUCCAUAGACUAAGAGAAAACAGACUGCUUAGCCACAGAUAAAGCCAGAUUACUAUAGCUAAUCCUUUUAGUGCACAGAGAAUGUUGUUCUCCAACAAGCUUCAAGAAUUUCCUGGGAACUAUGACCUCACCUAAAGAGAAAAAUAAGGUGCCAGAAACCAACCAUCAAGGAACUGAAAUUCACAAAUGCUCAGGUAAAGAUUUCUUAAAAAAAAAAAGAUUUUAUUUAUUUAUUUGAGAGGUACAGUUACAGACAGAGAACCAUCUGCUGGUUCAUUCCCUAAAUGGCUGCAAUAACAGGUGCUGGGCCAAUCCAAAGCCUGGAGCCAGGAAUCCCUUCUGGGUCUCCCAUGUGGGUGCAGGAGCCCAAGUACUUGGGCCAUCUUCCACUGUUUUCCCAGGCCACAGGUGGAGAGCUGGAUCAGAAUAGCAGGCAGGACAUGAACUUGCACCCCAUAUUGGAUGCAGGUGGAGGCUCAGCCUACUAUGCCACAGUGAUGGCCACAAGAUGAUUUUGAAGUAGCUGUUUUUAUUUUAUUUUAUUUGACAGGUAGAGUUAUAGACAGUGAGAGAGAGAGAGACAGAGGGAAAGAUCUUCUCUCUGUUGGUUCACUCCCCAAAUGGCCACUCUGGCCGGCAUGCUGUGCUGAUCCGAAGCCAGGAGCCAGGUGCCUCUUCCUGGUCUCCCAUGCGGGUGCAGGAACCCAAACACUUGGGCCAUCCUCCACUGCCCUCUUGGGCCACAGCAGAGAGCUGGACUGGAAGAGGAGCAGCCGGGACUAGAACCCGGUGCCCAUAUGGGAUGCCGGUGCUGCAGGUGGAGGAUUAACCAAGUGAGCCACGGUGCUGGCCCCAAAGUAGCUGUUUUAAAGAGACAACAAAAUCUAAGAGAACACAGAGAAAUUAUUAAAUAAUCUAACACAGAUGUUUUUUGAAGAGGUGAAAUAAAUUUGGCAAAAUCAAGCAGAAAUAUUUCAACUAAGUAGUUCACAAAAUGAAAUUAAAAUGUGAUGGAACCUCUGGCGCUGUGAUGCAGUAGGUUAAUCCUCCUCCUGCAGAGCCGGCAUCCAGUAUGGGCAUCAGUUCAAGACCUGGCUGUUCCUCUUCCAAUCCAGCUCUCAGCUAUGGCCUGGGGAAGCAGUAGAAGAUGGUCCAAGUCCUUGGGCCCCUCCACCUACGUGGGAGACCAGGAAGAAGCACCUAGAUCCUGGCUUCGGAUCAGCUUGUCUCCGGCUGUUGCAGCCAUCUGGGGAGUGAACCAGUCUCUCUCUCUCACUGUCUAACUCUAUCUGUCAAAUAAAAAAUAAAUAAAUAAAUAAAUAAAUCUUAAAAGAAUAUGUUGUACAUAUACACACUGGAAUACUACUUUGUCAUAAAAAGGUUGGAACUGGCAGUCAUUAUGUAAGUGAAAUAAGCCAAGCACAGAAAUACAGAUAUCACUUAAUCUUACUCAUUUGUGGAGUCUAAAAAUAGGUGAUCUCAUACAAGUUAAAAAUAUAUUGGUGGUUCCCAGAGGCUGGGAAAGGAAGUGGGAGGCAGGAAUGAGGAAAUAUUGAUUGACAGGUACUAAGUUAUAGUUAGAUAGAAAUAAGAACUUCUAGAGUUCUAUGACACAGUAGAUUGAUUAUAGAUAAUGAUAAUAUACUGUAUAUUUUCUACUUAAAAGCCUAGAAGAUAGAAUUUUGGGUGCUUUCACUAUAAAUAAAUGCUUGAAAGGAUAAAUAUAUUUACCCUGACUGUUUAUUACACAAUGUAUACAUGUUUCACGGCAUCAUAUAAUACCCCAUAAAUGUGCACAAGUUCUAUAUGUCUGUUAAAGUUAUUUAAAAAAAAAAAACACCAGGGGCCAGUGCUGUGGCUCAUUUGGUUAAUCCUCCACCUGCAGCACCGGCAUCCCAUAUGGGCGCCGGGUUCUAGUCCCGGUUGCUCCUCUUCCAGUCCAGCUCUCUGCUGUGGCCUGGGAGGGCAGUGGAGGAUGGCCCAAGUGUUUGGGUCCCUGCACCCGCAUGGGAGACCAGGAAGAAGCACCUGGCUCCUGGCUUCGGAUCAGCGCAGCAUGCCGGCCAGAGUGGCCAUUUGGGGAGUGAACCAACGGAAGGAAGAUCUUUCUCUCUGUCUCUCUCUCUCACUGUCUAAAACUCUACCUGUCAAAUAAAACAACAAACAAAAAACACCAACAUCUGUUGCUAAAAAUCUGUUUGCAUCUUUGUUGUAUGUGCCCUAAAUGAGGAGUUUUCUUUUCUUUCUUUCUUUCUUUUUUUUUUUUUUCUUUAAGGACUUGUCAAAGCUGGGUUCUGGAACUGAAUCCAGGCCUCCCAGGUGGUGGCAGGAAGCCAACUGGUUACACCAACACCACUGCCUCUCAGAGUCUGCAUUAGUAGGGAGCUGGAAUCAGGUGCAAAGCUGGGACUCUGAGAUACUCUGACACGGGACGCGGGCAUCUUAAGUGCCAGGCUAAAUGCAUGCUCCUAUCUUUACUGAUUUUGAACUCUGCUAUUGAGUGGAGAUUUAGUCAGUGGCUUGUGUUUACAGCUUUUUUUCAAGGUGUCGGUAGCUGAUCUGGAAUGACUUUGUGACUCUACCUAUCAUCCAUUCUUUAUCCCUGUUGCUAGGCCUUGGGGUCCUGUUGCUUCCUGGUAACUGCUUAUGACAGAGUCAAGAGUUGCAGUGACAAUUUCUAAGCUCUCACCUGGGCAAACGACUGACUCUGGUGAGCCUGAGGUAUACCAACAAACUAUCUACAUAGUGCUUUGCGUUUCUCAUUUUUACUUUAAUUCUUAAGCACAAGAUCUGUUUUCCCCCUUGAUCACUAACGGAAAAGGCCGUCUGGGUUAAGGAGCCUUAAAAGCUCACAGCAUGUGAAUAUUGAACUAACUCCUUUGCAUAGUCUAAAUCUAACUUUUCUUUCAUCCGGUCUCAGCUUCCUUGAGGUAAAUGUAAAAAUGAAGCUUCUUGAUUGCUCAUAUGACAGAAGUUAUUUCAUGGAUCAUGGGGCCAAAAAAUAUUUUAAGUAGAGAGCUGACACUGUGGUGCAACAGGUAAAGCUGCCACUUGCAAUCCUUGCAUCCCAUAUCACAUAGUGUUAGUUUGAAUCCUGGCUGCUCUGCUUCCAAUCCAGCUUCCUGCCAAUGCAGCCAGGAAGGCAGUGGAAGGUGGCUGAGUACUUGCACCCCUGCCACCCAUAUGGGAGACCAGAAUGGAGGUUCUGGUUCCUGACUUCAGCCUGGUGGAGACCUAGCUGUUAGACAUAUUUGGUGAGUGAACCAGUAGAUAAAAGACUUCUUUCUGUCUUUCCCUCUCACUGUCACACUGCCUUUCAAAUAAGUAAAUAAAUAAGUAGCCUUGUGCCAUUUUACAUGCCCAGCCUCUUCUAAUUGUAAGAAGAAUAUUUCCUUAAUUGGUUGUCACCCAUUAAAUCAAAAUGACUUCAUUUUGCUUCAGCCUGGCUAGGGUUGGAUCUUGAAUGGUUACCAGGAAGCUAAUGUGUUUGUGGUCAGAGGCGGGGAAGAGAAAAUGGUUACAGCUGGUUACAAAACAAACACAAAGCUCCCACACUGCUUCUCACCUUACCAGAGCAAAUAGAAAAGAAGUCCCAGCUGGGGAUGGAGUGUGUUGGGUAAACACUAGAGAAACUGCAGACUGCUCUGAGGCUCUGUUCUAAUUAGAAUAAGUUGUUUCGUCAUACAUAAGAGUGUUAAUUGUUAAAUUAACAACAGGAGUCACUGUGCACUAACUCCCCAUGAAGGACCUCUGUCCUCAAUGAGUUGUAUUAUGAAAGUUAGCUAUAAAACUAGUUCUCAAACAGUGUGUGUGUGUGUGUGUGUGUGUGAAAAAUGUUGAAAUCUUUACUUAGCAUAGAGUCGCUCUUCUGUGUACAAAGUUAAUUGAAAAUGAAUCUUAAUCGAGAAUGGGACUGGCAAGGGGAGAGGGAA